AUUGAACGCUGGCGGCAUGCUUUACACAUGCAAGUCGAACGGUAACAGGCCUUCGGGUGCUGACGAGUGGCGAACGGGUGAGUAAUGCAUCGGAACGUGCCCAGAGGUGGGGGAUAACGCAGCGAAAGCUGUGCUAAUACCGCAUGUGAUCUGAGGAUGAAAGCGGGGGACCGGGCAGCAAUGUUUGGCCUCGCGCCUUUGGAGCGGCCGAUGUCAGAUUAGGUAGUUGGUGGGGUAAAGGCCUACCAAGCCGACGAUCUGUAGCUGGUCUGAGAGGACGACCAGCCACACUGGGACUGAGACACGGCCCAGACUCCUACGGGAGGCAGCAGUGGGGAAUUUUGGACAAUGGGCGCAAGCCUGAUCCAGCAAUGCCGCGUGCGGGAAGAAGGCCUUCGGGCUGUAAACCGCUUUUGUACGGAACGAAAAGGCUCUGGCUAAUACCGGGGGCUAAUGACGGUACCGUAAGAAUAAGCACCGGCUAACUACGUG
rnacentral:rRNA from 1 species